GGCAAAGUGCCAGAGUGGUUAAUGGGUCAGCCUCGAAAACGCUCAUCCGCCUGCUUCAGGCAGUUGAGCUUACGUAAGCUGAUGACUUCGGUCGCGCAGGUUCGAGUCCUGUCUUUGUCG